CGGGUGAGUAAUACAUAGGAAUCUACCCAGUAGUGGGGGAUAACUUGGAGAAAUCCAUGCUAAUACCGCAUAUGCCCUACGGGGCAAAGCAGGGGACCCUCGGGCCUUGCGCUAUUGGAUGAGCCUAUGUCGGAUUAGCUAGUUGGUAGGGUAAAGGCCUACCAAGGCUACGAUCCGUAGCUGGUCUGAGAGGAUGAUCAGCCACACUGGGACUGAGACACGGCCCAG
rnacentral:rRNA from 1 species